CUCUCAAAAAUAAAUAAACGUUAAAAAAUUAAAAAAAAAAACAUAAAAUCAAGAGAGAAAAGAAACAAUUAAGCAAGUGCUCGUUUUAUACAUGUGGAUUCUAAGUUUUGCAGAAAUUAGUGAAAUUCUCCAAAGUCCAUUUUCCUUAACUGGCACAGCUGGGGGAAACUCCCAGGAAUUAAAAAUUACAAUGUAAGCCAUCUUUCCUUUAUGCUGUGCUGGGAUUGACAUACUUUUUUUUUUCUUUUUUUUACACACAUUACUAAUUGCACACAUUUUAUGUACUCACAGUGCCCUUCACUGAGCAGGAACUUUGUUGCUGUUUGCAUCUAUUGGGAUUGUUCUCAAAGGUAUUAAGGAUUAUCAUUAGAUGAAGCUCAUCAAUCAUUAUUAUUGUGGAUAAGCUUCAUUUGAUCUGCCCUUCAAGAACAUCAAAAUAAGAAUAACAACUAUUUCAUCUCACUUGUUCUAAAUAAAGAAAAAAAAAUCCUAUAGCCUCUAGUAGGCAUAGGACAUUGUGAAAACAUUGCCAAGUGGUUCACACUAGGAAUUCUUUUUGAAAAGGUGAUAUUGGCUAUUAAAUUUCAGUUUUACGUAGUAAUUAUAAAUUUUUAAGUUUGAUAUAUUUGAUCAGAAUAAAUACUUAAAAUGGAGACCAAUUUUCACUGUUAACCCAAAUUUUGUUAGGUUAGGGAUUUUCACUGAGAAAGCAAACUUUUCAAAAACAUAACUUUAUGUAUGUUUUUUGAGAAAAUAAAUUAAACCUUUUAAACAACAACAACAAGACAUUGCUUGAUGCUCUAUCUCAGGAGACAAUUAUAUGUGUCAGUCUGCAAAUAUGGAGGAAAUCUCUACACUUGGAAAUAUAUCACAUCUCACAGGAAAGACUUAUCACCUCCACUGCCAUUUGACGCUAUAGUCUCAAGGCCAAGGCUUUGCUGUCUUUAAUAACAAGUAACAAAAGCUGCUGUUGAAAUAAGUUCUACCAGAUUCAUGCUGUACUUUAUAGAAUGCAAAACGGCUUGACUUUAGUAAGAUCCUUGUCCUUUUCAUACCUUGAAAUUUUUGGUGAAAAUGAAUGUGAAUGGAACAUGGUUAUCUCUUUCAUUUCUUUAAUCCUUUCAACUUCACCCUUGGUGAGGAGGGAUAUUUUAGUGUAUAAAUGCCAUGAGCAUUAACAGGAGAUGACCUUGUUUUUAUUUUUUGUCAGUGUUAAGCUCCAAAGAAGAAAGAGUCACUGUACUCCUCUGGCAGGAACUAGAAGAGAUCAAAGGACUAGCGGCUGGAUAAAGCCUGGACCCUGGAGGAGAGAAAGAGAGUGGGAACGAGGGAACCAAGGGAAAGGGACUUCCAGCUGACCCUCCAGAUGUCCCGAGCCAUACAUGCAGUAUCUUACAUCAAAGACAUUACAUAUGUUGUAUUAGUUUUGUUAGAUAUUCUGGUUCAGUGAGACUAUGGCGUAUCUGAAUUCUGUAUAGUUCCAGGUUUGGCCUUGAGGACUCUUAAUUUCUGAGAAGGAGCAGGUAGCUGCUGGAAUUCUAGUUGGUAUGACUGUCACAUCCACGCUCCUCCACAUUCCUACGCCAAGAAGUGGAAAAAAUAUAUACAAAGAAUGAGAGGCAGCCUGAGAGAAGAAAAUUAAGUACUUGACUAGUUUUUCCUUCUCUCUCUCUGAGCCAAUAAUUAUUGAUUGAAUCAUUCACGUCUUAAAUCAUUCAUGACUGUAAUGCUGUGGCAGCCUACGUAAGCAAACCAAAAUCUAAGCCUACAAAUGCUUCAAGGUUACAAAAUCAAAAUGCUAGAAACGACCAAUCACAAAUAGCCAACUAGGCUUUAAACUAUAGCCAAUCAAUAAUUUCUUUGGUUUGCUUCUGACUUUUCUCUAUAAAAACCUUUCCUCCCCCCACCACCUCCUGUUAGGUGGAGAAUUCCUAACCCCUUCCAGUUUGGCACUGCUGAUUGAAAUAGAUUUUUGUUCAAAUAAAGUCUUAAAAUUACAACAACGAGAAGAAUGAUGUGAAGAUGUGUCUCAGAAAUAGACAGAAGAUAAUGGAAACACUGGUUUUGAGUCAGAAGACCUGAGUUUGAGGUCCAGCUCUAGAGCAUAUAUAGUCCCAGGUGGCCCCUUAAGUACCCUUAGACUCUGACCUGCAGUUUCUCCCAAUUUUUACUGGAGAUUUUUAUUUUUACUUUUAUUUCUGAUGUUCUCUGCCUCUGUAUCCCUGUCUCUGACUCCCUCCCUUUGAUCAUUCUAGAAUAGAGGCUAUAAUUUGGGACUUGUUGAUUCUUUUCUAUUUUAUUUUCAGAU